rnacentral:lncRNA from 1 species
GCACACGAAACUAUAAAAUGAAAACAUCGAACCUUAUACUGCAUUUAAAACUGUAAAACAUGCCAAAUAACAAUUGACCGACAAACACACUAGACUUGGGCUCCAUUAGCGACCUUAAGCAAUUUCACACAUUCGUUGAUUCAUGAAAUACCGUUUUAUCAUUUAUUGAACUUUAAAACCGUGAUAGGAAAUAGGGUGAGGGGUCCUUACACGUUUCGGGGUCCGAACACGGCUUCACAGUGCGCCUACAGGUUGUCCCUAAUUUUCCCUGAAUUUUUUCUCGGGGAACUGAAACGCACUACUGGUAACUGCACGUGUUCCAAAAAAUCCCAAAUUAGGCCCAGGGCCCCUUUCGGCCAAUAUCGCAACUCCGGCAUGGCGGCUCCGCCGUGCUCCGGCGACGGCAUCGCCGCUGGCUGCGGCGAUUCGCCUCGGGUUGGCU